AUCAACCUGCUGUGUGCGUGCUGUGCAGCAUACGUUUUGAGCCAACAGUAUCACAACGGGGAUUGUUAUGUGGCAGCAAGGUGAUAGACCUCGGUCAAGACCCCAAUGCCAAGCAAAUCCCCACCUGCGACAGCAGGUUCAAAACUUCGCACACACGGCAUGGCGGGAUUUUG
rnacentral:other from 1 species